rnacentral:lncRNA from 1 species
UUGUGUGCACAGAAGAUUAUAAAUAACAGCGAAUUGCGCUCAUCUCUCUUUCCCUGUCUCCCUCAGAGUGAAUCCCCACUGGUGGCCACUUGAUGAAGCGCCACGCUCCCGCACUGUGAUUUUGUGCAAGGCGGCCAGCUGUCUACCCACAUGAACAUAUUCAUCUGUCAGGUGGUCCAAGUCUCUGGCCUUUUUUUUUCUUUCUCCACUUCGCUCCUCUCUGGAGGGUCCAGACGCUCCCACUUUAUCACAGCGACACCGCGAGAAACCUGCCCGCUCCCGAGGACACACUCGGCUGGAGGAACGGAAACAAUUCAUCUUACUGGCCACGCCCGCCACGCUCAGCCCCUCCUGGUGCUCCCUCAAUAGAACCCUGAGAUUUCCCUUCUGUAGAAACACAAAGGCUUGGAUUCGGCAUUUUUUGCCCCCCCAUCCCUGCCCCUGUAAGACUCCACUGCCAGAGGGGGGCAGGUGCUGUGCAAAUGAAGGAAAAACUCAUUUGGAAAAGGCGGGAUUUGGAUAGGAACUGGCGGUUGUGUUCUGGCUGCGGAUAAGAGGAAGACAAGAGCCAUAUUUCGACCAGAGCCUAGCCCACAGUUUUUCUGCACUGGCCGUUCUGCGAGGUUCUUCAGCCAAGUCAUUUAGCACAGAACCGGCUACUUGGCCAGAUACAACUUCAGCAAACAGAUAAAAAGCAAACAGAUCCUUGUUCCCACUUGUGUUCAGUGUGGGUGGGGUUGUGGUGCCUUUUUAAUGGUGGCGUGAAAGGGCAGAAGAUGGAGUGUUCCAGGGUGAUGGUGAAGAGAACGAGUUUCAGAAUUUGUGCAGUUUACAUUUGCAGCAACAUUUGUGUGGAAUAUGGCUUUGUGAGAACCUCAUAGCACAGAACAUUGUUUUCCCUCAAUUUAUAAAUAGUAUCUUUCUCUAACUUUGGACCAUUUAUUGCUAUUACUUAUUACUAUUGUAUAAUGUUUAUAAAGAAAAUUUAUUAUAAAGGUGAAAAUGUACUUUGAUGAUGAAAAGUGGUUGUUAUAGCAUGCUGAUAUUGCGAAUUCAUAAAAUGUCUCUCAGCUGAUGGCAUAAUUAAGCAAGAUCUCAUGACAUGACAUGACUUUUGGUUUAUUAUUUCUCUUCCAUUAUGAAAUCUGUGAGCGGCUGUUCCUAAAAAAAAACAAACUAACUGUGGUAUAACGUCAGGUCAGGCCAGUAAAUGACUUCCCACCCCCUGCAAUAUGUUCCUGGUUCUCCAACAGCCCACCAUUCGUUGGCAUGGUUGAAGAGUGCUUGUGCAGAACUCGGGUGACCUUUCUCACUUCUCUCUGUAGGCCUUAUUAGUCCGCCACCCACAGCUGUCCCGGGCACCUCCUGG